GAAAUAUAUAGCUCAGUCAGUAGAGCGUUAGGCUUUUAACCUAACUGUUCAGGGUUCGAGCCCCUGUCCUGGCCAUCUUUUUCU